UACGAGUGCUCCAAGCGUUAUCCGGAAUUACUGGGCGUAAAGGGUGUGUAGGCGGUUUUGUUAGUCGGUUGUUAAAGCUCCCCGCUUAACGGGGAAAAUGCAAUCGAAACGGCAAAUCUAGAGGAUGCGAAAGGUGAACAGAACUCAUGGUGUAGGGGUGAAAUCCGUUGAUAUCAUGGGGAAUACCAAAUGCGAAGGCAGUUCACUGGCGCACUCCUGACGCUGAAACACGAAAGCGUGGGUAGCGAAUGGG
rnacentral:rRNA from 1 species